CGCCACGUGCGCACGGGAUUAAAAGGGAAUGCCGUGAAAGUCGGCAACAGUUCCCGCUGCUGUAAGCUCUCGCCCCUCGGGGUGCAACGUUCGUCAGCGAUCCUAAGCCACUGAAACAGACUCGUUUCGGGAAGGCCGCUGAGAAUAGAGCGAGUCAGAAGACCUGCCUUUGCGC
rnacentral:ncRNA from 1 species